GACGAACGCUGGCGGCGUGCUUAACACAUGCAAGUCGAGCGGAAAGGCCCCUUCGGGGGUACUCGAGCGGCGAACGGGUGAGUAACACGUGAGCAACCUGCCCCUGACACUGGGAUAAGCCUGGGAAACCGGGUCUAAUACCGGAUAUGACCUGCCUCCGCAUGGGGGUGGGUGGAAAGGUUGGUCCGUUUGGGUCUUCCGGUCAGGGAUGGGCUCGCGGCCUAUCAGCUUGUUGGUGGGGUAACGGCCUACCAAGGCGACGACGGGUAGCCGGCCUGAGAGGGCGACCGGCCACACUGGGACUGAGACACGGCCCAGACUCCUACGGGAGGCAGCAGUGGGGAAUAUUGCGCAAUGGGCGAAAGCCUGACGCAGCGACGCCGCGUGGGGGAUGAAGGCCUUCGGGUUGUAAACCUCUUUCGGCAGGGACGAAGUUGACGUGUACCUGCGGAAGAAGCGCCGGCUAACUAC
rnacentral:rRNA from 1 species